GACGAACGCUGGCGGCGUGCCUAAUACAUGCAAGUAGAACGCUGAAGGAGGAGCUUGCUUCUCUGGAUGAGUUGCGAACGGGUGAGUAACGCGUAGGUAACCUGCCUGGUAGCGGGGGAUAACUAUUGGAAACGAUAGCUAAUACCGCAUAAUAGUAGAUGUUGCAUAACAUUUGCUUAAAAGGUGCAAUUGCAUCACUACCAGAUGGACCUGCGUUGUAUUAGCUAGUUGGUGGGGUAACGGCUCACCAAGGCGACGAUACAUAGCCGACCUGAGAGGGUGAUCGGCCACACUGGGACUGAGACACGGCCCAGACUCCUACGGGAGGCAGCAGUAGGGAAUCUUCGGCAAUGGACGGAAGUCUGACCGAGCAACGCCGCGUGAGUGAAGAAGGUUUUCGGAUCGUAAAGCUCUGUUGUAAGAGAAGAACGAGUGUGAGAGUGGAAAGUUCACACUGUGACGGUAUCUUACCAGAAAGGGACGGCUAACUACGUG
rnacentral:rRNA from 1 species